UUUGGUAAAUAGCAGAGGUUAAUUUGAAAACCUAUGCUAAAUGGUAGAGGUUUAUUUUAAAACCUUGGUAAACUAUUCUAAUUUUAUUUCAAAUUCUUUUUUUUUUCUUUUUUUUUUCCUUUCCUCUUCACUUCCGGUAGACCUAAACCCACCUUUCAUUUCCAUCUUCUCUUUUCUUCACUCUCAUUUUUGUCCAACUCGCACCUCACUCCCAUCGCACACCACUGGACCUUUGCUUCUACUGCUUCAACACGAAACGUGCUUCUACUAUUCCAGCACGAAACAUGGUUCUGCUACUCCACCAUGGAACUUGCUUCAAUCUUCGCUCCACCACAGAACCGCUUGUCUACAAAACGCAAGUAUGUUCCGCGAUUAGUGAUGUGAUAUCUGUUAUUUAUUUGACGAUCUUGGAACCCUAAUUUGAAGAAGGUCGAACAAAGGUAAUAAUUAGUUUCUUCUUCUUCUUCUUCUGUUUCUAUGAGUUUAAUGUUAAUUAAUUUUGUAUAUGUAUAGCUUAAUCAAGAGUUUGAUUAUGAUUUUGUUGAUAGGUAUCGAUUCUAUUCAUUGGUACCAUUUCCUCACAGGCUUCUUCUUCUCGUUCUCCCUUCAAUCGAUGAGUUCUUCUCUACCUUUUCUCUCUCUCCAAUUUGAUUUCUUUCUCUUACAGCACUGAACGAUGUGUUUCGACUUAGAUUCUUCAAUUGCUAUGUGUUUUUUAUAUCGUGUCAGAUCUCUGUUUCUCCGUAAUUUUUUUCAAUUAUAAUUUUGCUCACUGUUAAAAUAAAUUACCUAUUUAAGGUUUUAAAAAAUACAUAAUCUGUCAAAUGUUUGCUUUAAGAGAAUUAAAGUAAUCUAUUUUAUGUAUGCAAAUUCAUCUUUUCUUUUCUACUUCUCUUCUGCGCAAUUGGUAACUGACUAUGAUUGACAUUUUUAUAUAUUUUUGUUUAAUAGCUACCUUUUAAGAAUUUUUUUAUAUCUCCAUAGUACUUUUACCUACUUUAAAUAUUUAAUAUAAUAUUCAUAUAUGAUAAUGCUAUAAAGAAAAGCUAAGGAUGUUUUUGGCCAUGGUAAAUAGUUAAUGUGUUGCAGAACAAAAGAAAAUCUACUUAGCUUUCAUUUGAAAUUUGUUAUAUUAUAAAUUGUUAGUUAAUUAUGAUAAAUAAAUAAAUUUCCAAUUAUAAAGAAAUUGUUUUAUUUUUCAGAUUAUACAUUUUUAAUUAUGAUACAUGCUUAUAUUGUAGGUUUCUCUGGACAUCAAGAGGAAGCAUAGUUGAAGAAUAUAGUAUAAUGUAGAAAUGAUUUUUCCUAUUUUGUAUUUUGUAAACAAUAUGAUAGGUUUUCAUUUGUAGUACUUCAUAUAGAUAUUAUUCUUGUAUUGCUUUUUUCCUAGUUCUUUUAACUCAUAUUUUGUGUUUGAGUUUCAAUUUCAGCGUGUAUACUUGAUAUACUUUUAUAUAAAUUAUUAAAUUUAGUUAUAUAUGCAUAACUUUUUAAUUGAUGCA
rnacentral:lncRNA from 1 species